rnacentral:rRNA from 1 species
GACGAACGCUGGCGGCGUGCUUAACACAUGCAAGUCGAACGGAAAGGCCCUGCUUUUGUGGGGUGCUCGAGUGGCGAACGGGUGAGUAACACGUGAGUAACCUGCCCUUGACUUUGGGAUAACUUCAGGAAACUGGGGCUAAUACCGGAUAGGAGCUCCUGCUGCAUGGUGGGGGUUGGAAAGUUUCGGCGGUUGGGGAUGGACUCGCGGCUUAUCAGCUUGUUGGGGGGGGAGUGGCUUACCAAGGCUUUGACGGGUAGCCGGCCUGAGAGGGUGACCGGCCACAUUGGGACUGAGAUACGGCGCAGACUCCUACGGUAGGCAGCAGUGGGGAAUAUGGCACAAUGGGCGGAAGCCUGAGGCAGCAACGCCGCGUGCGGGAUGACGGCCUUCGGGUGGUAAACCGCUGUCGCCUGUGACGAAGCGUGAGUGACGGUAAUGGGUAAAGAAGCACCGGCUAACUACGUG